rnacentral:rRNA from 1 species
GGGUUAGUAGGUUGGUUAUGCCACAGGUAUGUACUGGUCUCACUGAUUCCUCCUUCCUGAUGAACUGUAAUGCCAUUAAUUUGGUGUUGAAGGGAAUUUGGACUGUUACUUUGAAAAAAUUAGAGUGUUUAAAGCAAGCUAACGCUUGAAUACAUUAGCAUGGAAUAAUGAAAUAGGACGUUCGAUCCUAUUUUGUUGGUUUCUAGGAUUGACGUA